rnacentral:rRNA from 1 species
CUACGGGUGGCAGCAGUGAGGAAUAUUGCACAAUGGGGGGAACCCUGAUGCAGCAACGCCGCGUGGAGGAUGACGCAUUUCGGUGUGUAAACUCCUUUUAUAUGUCAAGAAAAUGACGGUAGCAUAUGAAUAAGCACCGGCUAACUCCGUGCCAGCAGCCGCGGUAAUACGGAGGGUGCAAGCGUUACUCGGAAUCACUGGGCGUAAAGGACGCGUAGGCGGGUUGGAAAGUCAGGUGUGAAAUCCUACAGCUUAACUGUAGAACUGCACUUGAAACUUCUAAUCUAGAGUAUGGGAGGGGGAGAUGGAAUUAGUGGUGUAGGGGUAAAAUCCGUAGAUAUCACUAGGAACACCGAAAGCGAAGGCGAUCUCCUGGAACAUUACUGACGCUAAGGCGUGAAAGCGUGGGGAGCAAACAGGAUUAGAUACCCGCGUAGUC